AGAGUUUGAUCCUGGCUCAGGACGAACGCUGGCGGCGUGCUUAACACAUGCAAGUCAAGGGGGCCCAGCAAUGGGCAACCGGCGAACGGGUGCGUAACACGUGAGCAACCUACCGAACUGUGGGGGAUAGCCGGCCUAACGGCCGAGUAAUACCGCAUACGCUCUCAGAGAGGCAUUUCUUUGAGAGGAAACCUACGGGACAGAUCGAGGGGCUCGCGGCCUAUCAGCUAGUUGGCGAGGUAACGGCUCACCAAGGCGACGACGGGUAGCUGGUCUGAGAGGAUGGCCAGCCACAUUGGGACUGAGAUACGGCCCAGACUCCUACGGGAGGCAGCAGUGGGGAAUCUUGCGCAAUGGCCUAACGGCUGACGCAGCGACGCCGCGUGUGGGAUGAAGCUCCUCGGAGUGUAAACCACUGUUGCCCGGGACGAAUAGCUCGAUUAAUCGAGCCUGACGGUACCGGGUGAGGAAGCACCGGCUAACUCCGUGCCAGCAGCCGCGGUAAUACGGGGGGUGCGAGCGUUGUCCGGAAUCACUGGGCGUAAAGGGCGCGUAGGUGGUUUGAUAAGGGUGUGGUGAAAGUCCGGGGCUCAACCCCGGAUCUGCCGUGCCGACUGUCAAACUCGAGGACUGUAGAGGCAGGCGGAAUUCCGGGUGUAGCGGUGGAAUGCGUAGAGAUCCGGAGGAAGACCGGUGGCGAAGGCGGCCUGCUGGGCAGUUUCUGACACUGAUGCGCGACAGCGUGGGGAGCAAACAGGAUUAGAUACCCCCGUAGUCC
rnacentral:rRNA from 1 species